AGAUUAAGUUAUUAAGGGCGCACGGUGGAUGCCUUGGCACUAGAAGCCGAAGAAGGACGUUACUAACGACGAUAUGCUUUGGGUAGCUGUAAGUAAGCGUUGAUCCAGAGAUUUCCGAAUGGGGGAACCCAACAUGAGUUAUGUCAUGUUAUCGACAUGUGAAUUCAUAGCAUGUCAGAAGGCAGACCCGGAGAACUGAAACAUCUUAGUACCCGGAGGAAGAGAAAGAAAAAUCGAUUCCCUGAGUAGCGGCGAGCGAAACGGGAAGAGCCCAAACCAACAAGCUUGCUUGUUGGGGUUGUAGGACACUCUAUACGGAGUUACAAAAGAACAUGUUAGACGAAUCAUCUGGAAAGAUGAAUCAAAGAAGGUAAUAAUCCUGUAGUCGAAAACAUAUUCUCUCUUGAGUGGAUCCUGAGUACGACGGAGCACGUGAAAUUCCGUCGGAAUCUAGGAGGACCAUCUCCUAAGGCUAAAUACUCUCUAGUGACCGAUAGUGAACCAGUACCGUGAGGGAAAGGUGAAAAGUACCCCGGAAGGGGAGUGAAAGAGAACUUGAAACCGUGUGCUUACAAGUAGUCAGAGCCCGUUUAUGGGUGAUGGCGUGCCUUUUGUAGAAUGAACCGGCGAGUUACGAUCUGAUGCAAGGUUAAGCAGUGAAUGUGGAGCCGUAGCGAAAGCGAGUCUGAAUAGGGCGUUGAGUAUUUGGUCGUAGACCCGAAACCAGGUGAUCUACCCUUGGUCAGGUUGAAGUUCAGGUAACACUGAAUGGAGGACCGAACCGACUUACGUUGAAAAGUGAGCGGAUGAACUGAGGGUAGCGGAGAAAUUCCAAUCGAACUUGGAGAUAGCUGGUUCUCUCCGAAAUAGCUUUAGGGCUAGCCUCAAGUGAUGAUUAUUGGAGGUAGAGCACUGUUUGGACGAGGGGCCCCUCUCGGGUUACCGAAUUCAGACAAACUCCGAAUGCCAAUCAAUUUAACUUGGGAGUCAGAACAUGGGUGAUAAGGUCCGUGUUCGAAAGGGAAACAGCCCAGACCACCAGCUAAGGUCCCAAAAUAUAUGUUAAGUGGAAAAGGAUGUGGCGUUGCCCAGACAACUAGGAUGUUGGCUUAGAAGCAGCCAUCAUUUAAAGAGUGCGUAAUAGCUCACUAGUCGAGUGACACUGCGCCGAAAAUGUACCGGGGCUAAACAUAUUACCGAAGCUGUGGAUUGUCCUUCGGACAAUGGUAGGAGAGCGUUCUAAGGGCGUUGAAGCAUGAUCGCAAGGACAUGUGGAGCGCUUAGAAGUGAGAAUGCCGGUGUGAGUAGCGAAAGACGGGUGAGAAUCCCGUCCACCGAUUGACUAAGGUUUCCAGAGGAAGGCUCGUCCGCUCUGGGUUAGUCGGGUCCUAAGCUGAGGCCGACAGGCGUAGGCGAUGGAUAACAGGUUGAUAUUCCUGUACCACCUAGUAUCGUUUUAAUCGAUGGGGGGACGCAGUAGGAUAGGCGAAGCGUGCUGUUGGAGUGCACGUCCAAGCAGUAAGGCUGAGUGUUAGGCAAAUCCGGCACUCGUUAGGCUGAGCUGUGAUGGGGAGAGGAAAUUGUUUCCUCGAGUCGUUGAUUUCACACUGCCGAGAAAAGCCUCUAGAUAGAUAACAGGUGCCCGUACCGCAAACCGACACAGGUAGUCAAGAUGAGAAUUCUAAGGUGAGCGAGCGAACUCUCGUUAAGGAACUCGGCAAAAUGACCCCGUAACUUCGGGAGAAGGGGUGCUCUUUAGGGUUCACGCCCAGAAGAGCCGCAGUGAAUAGGCCCAAGCGACUGUUUAUCAAAAACACAGGUCUCUGCUAAACCGUAAGGUGAUGUAUAGGGGCUGACGCCUGCCCGGUGCUGGAAGGUUAAGAGGAGUGGUUAGCUUCUGCGAAGCCACGAAUCGAAGCCCCAGUAAACGGCGGCCGUAACUAUAACGGUCCUAAGGUAGCGAAAUUCCUUGUCGGGUAAGUUCCGACCCGCACGAAAGGCGUAACGAUUUGGGCACUGUCUCAACGAGAGACUCGGUGAAAUCAUAGUACCUGUGAAGAUGCAGGUUACCCGCGACAGGACGGAAAGACCCCGUGGAGCUUUACUGUAGCCUGAUAUUGAAAUUCGGCACAGCUUGUACAGGAUAGGUAGGAGCCAUUGAAACGUGAGCGCUAGCUUACGUGGAGGCGUUGGUGGGAUACUACCCUAGCUGUGUUGGCUUUCUAACCCGCACCACUUAUCGUGGUGGGAGACAGUGUCAGGCGGGCAGUUUGACUGGGGCGGUCGCCUCCUAAAAGGUAACGGAGGCGCUCAAAGGUUCCCUCAGAAUGGUUGGAAAUCAUUCACAGAGUGUAAAGGCAUAAGGGAGCUUGACUGCGAGACCUACAAGUCGAGCAGGGUCGAAAGACGGACUUAGUGAUCCGGUGGUUCCGCAUGGAAGGGCCAUCGCUCAACGGAUAAAAGCUACCCCGGGGAUAACAGGCUUAUCUCCCCCAAGAGUUCACAUCGACGGGGAGGUUUGGCACCUCGAUGUCGGCUCAUCGCAUCCUGGGGCUGUAGUCGGUCCCAAGGGUUGGGCUGUUCGCCCAUUAAAGCGGUACGCGAGCUGGGUUCAGAACGUCGUGAGACAGUUCGGUCCCUAUCCGUCGUGGGCGUAGGAAAUUUGAGAGGAGCUGUCCUUAGUACGAGAGGACCGGGAUGGACAUACCUCUGGUGUACCAGUUGUCGUGCCAACGGCAUAGCUGGGUAGCUAUGUAUGGACGGGAUAAGUGCUGAAAGCAUCUAAGCAUGAAGCCCCCUCAAGAUGAGAUUUCCCAACUUCGGUUAUAAGAUCCCUCGAAGAUGACGAGGUUAAUAGGUUCGAGGUGGAAGCGUGGUGACACGUGGAGCUGACGAAUACUAAUCGAUCGAAGACUUAAUCAAU
rnacentral:rRNA from 1 species